GACUGCUGCCAGAAUCCUUCCAUUUCCUCGGAGCCCUCCAAAAAUUCUUUGCUCCCGCCUGCCCCACUCUCUCCCCUCCUUAAGUCCGCCGUUCCCCUGUUCUCUGUUUCCUUCCUGCUCUCGUCCCCUUCCCUCGAAUCUAGUCUCACUAUUUCCUUCUUCCACUCAUCAUCAUUCACCAAAAGAGAUGUGUUUUUUAUCUGUGCAUGCAGGGAUAUCACCUCUGUCUUCUGGUUGGUUGCUUCUAUGAAUACAUUAAGAGAGUGUUUGGUCGGGGGAAAUUGAAGUU
rnacentral:lncRNA from 1 species